GACGAACCGUGCGAACGUUAUUCGGAAUCACCGGGCUUAAAGGGCGCGUAGGCGGGUCAUCAAGUCCGGGGUGAAAUCCCACGGCCCAACCGUGGAAGUGCCUUGGAUACUGAAGACCUCGAGGGGGAUAGGGGCGUGCGGAACUCAGGGUGGAGCGGUGAAAUGCGUAGAUAUCCUGAGGAACACCGGUGGCGAAAGCGGCGCGCUGGAUCCCUUCUGACGCUGAGGCGCGAAAGCUAGGGGAGCAAACGGG
rnacentral:rRNA from 1 species